rnacentral:rRNA from 2 species
CUGGAGGAAGGUGGGGAUGACGUCAAAUCAUCAUGCCCCUUAUGAUUUGGGCUACACACGUGCUACAAUGGGGAAGCGACCCUGCGAAGGUGAGCAAAUCUCAAAAAUAACGUCCCAGUUCGGACUGUAGUCUGCAACCCGACUACACGAAGCUGGAAUCGCUAGUAAUCGCGAAUCAGAAUGUCGCGGUGAAUACGUUCCCGGGUCUUGUACACACCGCCCGUCACACCAUGGGAGUCAGCAACGCCCGAAGUCAGUGACCCAACUCGCAAGAGAGGGAGCUGCCGAAGGCGGGGCAGGUAACUGGGGUGAAGUCGUAACAAGGUAGCCGUAUCGGAAGGUGCGGCUGGAUCACCUCCUUUCUAAGGAA